CCGCGACCGCGCCGACCGGGUGAUGCCCCGGAAGCCCGGGCGGGCCGUCGCUGCGUCACGCUGCUCGCCCGCGGGCGCCCGCCCUUGCGCGCACGUCUUGGCGCCGGGUUGCCAGCGGUGUCCGGCUAGCAGGGACCGCCGCGGGGGGUGCAACCGUCGUCCUGAGCCGUCCGCCGCGUCCCGGGUGAGCGGGCAUGCAUGGCUUCGUCCUUGGGGAGAGCGUCGCGCUCCGGCAGGAUCGACCGGAUGACGAACGGGUGGCACUGCCCGCUGUCCGGAUACAUAUUCACCAUCUGGUAACGCCAGCGUUCUUUGGGCAGGAUCGACCGGAU
rnacentral:rRNA from 1 species